CCUACGGGGGGCAGCAGUGAGGAAUAUUGGUCAAUGGGCGCGAGCCUGAACCAGCCAAGUAGCGUGAAGGAUGACUGCCCUACGGGUUGUAAACUUCUUUUAUAAAGGAAUAAAGUGAGGCACGUGUGCCUUUGUGUAUUUACUUUAUGAAUAAGGAUCGGCUAACUCCGUGCCAGCAGCCGCGGUAAUACGGUGGAUCCGAGCGUUAUCCGGUUUUAGUGGGUUUAAAGGGAGCGUAGAUGGGUUGUUAAGUCAGUUGUGAAAGUUUGCGGCUCAACCGUAAAAGUGCAAUUGAUACUGGCAGUCUUGAGUACAGUUGAGGUAGGCGGAAUUCGUGGUGUAGCGGUGAAAUGCUUAGAUAUCACGAAGAACCCCGAUUGCGAAGGCAGCUUACUAAACUGUGACUGACAUUGAUGCUCGAAAGUGUGGGUAUCAAACAGGAUUAGAUACCCGGGUAGUC
rnacentral:rRNA from 1 species